UGCAAGUCGAACGGCAGCGCGGGGGUUUCGGCCUCUGGCGGCGAGUGGCGGACGGGUGAGUAAUAUAUGGGAACGCGCCCGGCGGCGGGGGAUAACUCUGGGAAACCAGAGCUAAUACCGCAUGCGUUUCGCCUUUCGGGGCGAAAGAAAGCGGGGGACUUCUUCGGAGGCCUCGCACCGGCGGAGCGGCCCAUAUCCGAUUAGCUUGUUGGCGGGGUAACAGCCCACCAAGGCCGCGAUCGGUAGCUGGUCUGAGAGGACGGACAGCCACACCGGGACUGAGACACGGCCCGGACUCCUACGGGAGGCAGCAGUGGGGAAUAUUGGACAAUGGGCGCAAGCCUGAUCCAGCAAUGCCAUGUGUGUGAAGAAGGCCUGCGGGUUGUAAAGCACUUUCAGUAGGGAAAAAAACCUCAAUGUGAAUAGCAUUGAGGCUUGAUAUUAUCUACACAAGAAGCACCGGCUAAUUCCGUGCCAGCAGCCGCGGUAAUACGGAAGGUGCAAGCGUUAAUCGGAAUUACUGGGCGUAAAGCGCGCGUAGGCGGUUUGUUAAGUUGGAUGUGAAAUCCCCGGGCUCAACCUGGGAAUUGCAUUCAAUACUGGCAGACUAGAGUACAGUAGAGGGAAACGGAAUUCCGGGUGUAGCGGUGAAAUGCGUAGAUAUCCGGAGGAACAUCAGUGGCGAAGGCGGUUUCCUGGUCUGAUACUGACGCUGAGGUGCGAAAGCAUAGGGAGCAAACAGGAUUAGAUACCCUGGUAGUCUAUGCUGUAAACGAUGUCAACUAGCCGUUUAUGGGCUUUGUCCCUGAGUGGCGCAGCUAACGCGAUAAGUUGACCGCCUGGGGAGUACGGCCGCAAGGCUGAAACUCAAAGGAAUUGACGGGGGCCCGCACAAGCGGUGGAGCAUGUGGUUUAAUUCGAUGCAACGCGAAGAACCUUACCUGCCCUUGACAUUUUUGGAAGAUUGCAGAGAUGCGAUUGUGCCUUCGGGAACCAAAUAACAGGUGCUGCAUGGCUGUCGUCAGCUCGUGUCGUGAGAUGUUGGGUUAAGUCCCGCAACGAGCGCAACCCCUGUCCUUAGUUGCCAGCGAUUUAGUCGGGAACUCUAAGGAAACUGCCGGUGAUAAACCGGAGGAAGGCGGGGAUGACGUCAAGUCAUCAUGGCCCUUAUGGGCAGGGCUACACACGUGCUACAAUGGACGGUACAGAGAGUCGCCAACCCGCGAGGGGGAGCUAACCUCACAAAGCCGUUCUCAGUCCGGAUUGGAGUCUGCAAUUCGACUCCAUGAAGUCGGAAUCGCUAGUAAUCGCGAAUCAGCAAUGUCGCGGUGAAUAUGUUCUCGGGCCUUGUACACACCGCCCGUCACACCAUGGGAGUUGGUUGCACCAGAAGUAGGUAGUCU
rnacentral:rRNA from 1 species